rnacentral:rRNA from 1 species
GAUGAACGCUGGCGGCGUGCCUAAUACAUGCAAGUCGAGCGAACAGACGAGGAGCUUGCUCCUCUGACGUUAGCGGCGGACGGGUGAGUAACACGUGGAUAACCUACCUAUAAGACUGGGAUAACUUCGGGAAACCGGAGCUAAUACCGGAUAAUAUAUUGCACCGCAUGGUUCAAUAGUGAAAGACGGUUUUGCUGUCACUUCUAGAUGGAUCCGCGCUGCAUUAGCUAGUUGGUAAGGUAACGGCUUACCAAGGCAACGAUGCGUAGCCGACCUGAGAGGGUGAUCGGCCACACUGGAACUGAGACACGGUCCAGACUCCUACGGGAGGCAGCAGUAGGGAAUCUUCCGCAAUGGGCGAAAGCCUGACGGAGCAACGCCGCGUGAGUGAUGAAGGUCUUCGGAUCGUAAAACUCUGUUAUUAGGGAAGAACAAAUGUGUAAGUAACUAUGCACGUCUUGACGGUACCUAAUCAGAAAGCCACGGCUAACUACGUG